UCUUGUAUGUCAGUUUCAAAAUCAUAGAUAAAGCAUUAAUUGAAGUACCCUAGUUUUUGUUUUGUUUGUAAUCUUCUCCCCUCAGAAGAAAGAGAUUUUGGUGGCAAACAAAGUGCAACCAGGAGAAAGGGUCAUCAUAACCUUGGCUUCAUGUUUGUGAGAUAAUAGAAGUCCAGAAACUUUUUCUAGUUGUAAUAUCAUAGAGAAGUUGCUCUUCUGGUGUGAAAGUAAACCCCAGACUUUGUCAGGAAUAGACUAUGAUACAGUGAUGAUGGUCAGGAAAGGAGAUGAAGUGACAUGCAAUGAAGACAGGAAGCGGCAACUCCA